GUCUUACAGUAAACAGGAUGGCUGAUGAGGAUCAAGCCCUAAGGUACAUGCCUGGUAUGUUGCGCACAAGCCAGCUGGAGAAGAUGAUGAGUAAAGAAGAACUGGAGGAAGAACAAAGAGUCCAGCGGGAGCAACUCUCCGCCAUCCUCAAACUGCUCAAAGAAAACCAGGACACGUUCGGGGAGGUGACUGAGAAAGACAUGGAGGAACAGCUGAAGCUUUACUCUAUCUAAAAAAAAAAAAAGAACUACACCGUACCCUAGUCUGUCAUGGCGGAAAUGGAAAGUUAAGAAUGUUGCUUCAGUUGCAAAUGCAAAUAAUUCUGAUGGCCACCAUAGGAGGAUAUGCUAAUAAAGCUCACUGUGUUUUAGACUUCAACUGUACACAAUUUGUAACCUUGUUAGGAAUAUUAUGAAGUAAAUAUUGGGUGUAGAUACUUAUUUGUGUGUUUAUAUACAGUAUAUACACUGCAAGGUCCAAUAAAGUCACCACAUGGAUUUGACUAAGCAAACAGA